AGUCUGAAGCUUAUUGGAGAAUUUGCUGUGUGUCCUCAAGCCAAUCUUCCACCCUCUCUGAACCACAUUUUAAGCUCUUUGCAUGUAUUAACUCAUUGACUCCUCCUGAUAAUUUGUAGGAAGCAGGUCCUAUUAUUAUCUCCACUUGACAAAUGAGGAAACUGAGGCCCAGCAGGGCUGUGUGUGCCUGCUUAGGCCCAGCUGCAAGGGCAGGGGACGACACAAGGGCAUGCACACCAGGAGGCUGGUUCACUGGGACGGCUAAAGGAGGUCUACGUGGGGGGAGGGCUGGGGGCCUGAGGUGAGAGGAAGACCUACAUCCUUCUCUAGCUCUAAAAUGUACCCCGUGGAUAUGCAUUACCUUGUUAUUUGUUGGGUUUAGAAAGUCUUUCAUCGCACGGUCCUGCCUCCACACCUUUGCUGGUGCUGUUCCCUCUGCCUCUAACACCUUUCCCUUCCACCGCCAGCAGAGAAAUGCACAGAGGAACUUUCCCUGAAUGCCCAAGUCCAAUUACCCUCCGCUGCCUCCAUGCUCCCUGCACUCGGUGCCUCCAGGAUCCGAUUCCGCCCCUGCCAGAGUGAGUUCUGUGUGAUCUCCCUGGCCUAGGAGCCCCUCAAUGUCGGCCCAGUCUAGGUCAUCCCCGUACACGCACACAGGGGAAUGGUGCCGGUGCUGGGGCUCAGGGGCUGGGGGGCCCAACCCAGGGAAAUGCACGCUCGCCUGACCACAAUCUUCCCCUCGAGCUGGGCCCCGCGCGGGACCUGUCGUUGCACCGUCUGGAACCGCCGCCAGGGGGUGCGGGAGCCCAGCCCCCACGUGCGCGGGGCUCGGAGCCGAGCCGGCACCUGCGGGGGGUCACCUGGCGGUCAGGCCCGGGCGGGGGCUCCGAGCCCAGCUUCGGAGAGAAAUCUCUCAUCCUCACUGCCCACUCCUCUCCUCGACUUCGAAACGUGCUUCCUCCUCGAGCAAAUUGACUUUCAUUAGAGGCCUGCCGACCGCUGAUAACGCACCAGCCUGCGCGCAUCUCCAAAACCUCGCGCCGGGUGGAAGACGCCAGACACGAAAGAACACAGCUGCGCGGUUCCGUGUAUACGAGGCCGCAGCAUAAGCCAAUCGAUCUCCGAUGGGAAAUAUCAGGACGGCGGUGGACGCAAGCUGGGGUGGGAGGACCGACCGGGCAGGCGCACGAGGGUGCUCUUGGGGUGAUGGCGAGUGUCCUCUAUUAUUUUCCCAGGCUGCUGUGACCAAGUACCACAGACGAGGCAGCUUAAAACAGCACACAUCUGUUCUCUAACAGCUCUGGAGGCCAGGAGUCUGAAGUCAGGCCGUGCCCCGCUCUGCAGGCUCCCGCGAAGAAGCCUUCCUCACCUCUCCAGCCCUGGGGGGGCCGGCCACCCUUGGCCUGGGGCUGCUCCACUCCAGGCUCUGCCUCUGUCUUCGGUGGCCUUCUUCCCCCAUGUGUGUCCGCGUCCGGAUCGCCUUCUCUUUUCCCUUAUAAAACACCUGUCGUUGGAUGUAGGGCCCACCCUAAUCCUGCCUGACCUCAUCUUAACUGGGUACAUCUGCAAGGCUCUAUUUCCACAUGAGGUCGCAGUCACAGGUGCCGAGAGUCAGGACUUGACUAUAUCUUUUUGAGGGAAACAAUUCAACCCACUUUGUGUUCCAUAUCUUGGAAAGAGUGUUUGAAUAACCCAGGGAGAUGCAUUUGCCAAAAAUAAUCUAAAGUACACCUAAGAUUUGUGCAUUUCACUGAAUGUAAGUUGUACAGACAGAGAAACAAAUGUUGAACCCUGUCCCUUUGGUCUCUUUUUUUUUUCAAGAUUGGCACCUCAGCUAACAUCUAUUGCCAAUCUCCUUUUUUUUUCCUUCUUCUCCCCAAAGCCCCCCACUGCAUAGUUGUCUAUUCUAGUUGCAGGUCCUUCU
ensembl:lncRNA